rnacentral:rRNA from 1 species
UACGUAGGGUGCAAGCGUUAAUCGGAAUUACUGGGCGUAAAGCGUGCGCAGGCGGUGAUGUAAGACAGAUGUGAAAUCCCCGGGCUCAACCUGGGAACUGCAUUUGUGACUGCAUCGCUAGAGUACGGCAGAGGGGGGAUGGAAUUCCGCGUGUAGCAGUGAAAUGCGUAGAUAUGCGGAGGAACACCGAUGGCGAAGGCAAUCCCCUGGGCCUGUACUGACGCUCAUGCACGAAAAGCGUGGGGAGCAAACAGG